CUGCGUUAAGUUUAUCAUCAAUUCGGUAAUUUCAUUGCUAUUAAUAAUAAUCGACCUGUUUUGUGGUAUUGAACCGUGGUAGUACGUACACGGAAGGUUGAAUACUCGCUGACCUGUGAUAAUCCUUUGGCGAUUAGUUUCUAACUGUAGAUAGGCAUAUAGGCACAAUUUUAGAGCGGCAGAUACGGUCGAGAAAGCUAGGUGGAGUCGGUGGAGGACGGGACGAACCGGUUACAAUCAAGUCAAAAAGGAUGCGCGCGACCACGCGUUCUAUUGAUUCCAUGACCCGAAGCUGAAAGUGAUGUGCCAAUUUGUGGAAAGAAAGUAGCAGAAUCAAGAUUCAGCUUAUACCAUCUUUUGAAUAUUCUUUUUAAAAAUUUCUGUAUGUAGAAUUUCUUGAUAAAGUUAAAUCAUUAAUAAUAAUAAAAGAAUGUAUUUAAUAUUAAAAAACAUUAUUUAUAAACAUUGAAAAUUUUAUAGGUAUAUACAUAUACAUACAUAUAUCGAUAUAUGUAACAUUAAUAUAAAAACAUAAUAUAAAUUAUUAUUUUUAUAUAUAUAUUAUGCAUAUAAUUUCUUAAAUUUUUUAUUCUUUUAUAUUUUUUUUAUAAUAUGCAAAAUUAAUGAGAUGAUAUAUAUAAUAAUCUAUAUCAUAAUGCUUAAGAACGCAUCAAGAAAAGUGGGAAUUUAGUCCAGUGAAAUGAAAAUUUAGAUGCGUGGAUGCUAUCUUUAGUUUGACACUGCAAAGCCAGUGGAAAUAUAGGUUACUGUCAUCGAAAUAGCUUGUGGCUGAAACUUCCACUGACCCACUAAAACGAAAUUUAAUUUUACCAAGUAAUGCUGUAUGUCACCAAUUACAUAGUUAUUUUUGAUAAUAAAAUAUA